GUCCACGCCCUAAACGAUGUCAACUAGUUGUUCGGUGAGGAGACUCAUUGAGUAACGCAGCUAACGCGUGAAGUUGACCGCCUGGGGAGUACGGCCGCAAGGUUAAAACUCAAAGGAAUUGACGGGGACCCGCACAAGCGGUGGAUGAUGUGGAUUAAUUCGAUGCAACGCGAAAAACCUUACCUACCCUUGACAUGUCAGGAACCCUUGAGAGAUUGAGGGGUGCCCGAAAGGGAACCUGAACACAGGUGCUGCAUGGCUGUCGU
rnacentral:rRNA from 1 species